CCUACGGGAGGCAGCAGUGAGGAAUAUUAGUCAAUGGCCGGAAGGCUGAACCAGCGAUGCCGCGUGAAGGUCAAUGCCCUACGGGCGUUAAACUUCUUUUGUGCGGGAGCAAUAAUGGUCACGUGUGGCCAGACGAGAGUACCGUACGAAUAAGCAUCGACUAACUCCGUGCCAGCAGCGGCGGUGAUACGGGGGAUGCAAGCGUUAUCCGGAUUUAUUGGGUUUAAAGGGUGCGUAGGCUGUGAGGUAGGUCAGCGGUGAAAUGCCCGCGCUCAACGGGGUGAAGUGCCAUUGAUACUGGCUUGCUGGAAGGCGGAUGCCGUGGGAGGAAUGUGUGGUGUAGCGGUGAAAUGCAUAGAUAUCACACAGAACACCGAUUGCGAAGGCAUCUCACGAAUCCGCGAUUGACGCUGAUGCACGAAAGCGUGGGUAUCAAACAGGAUUAGAUACCCUUGUAGUC
rnacentral:rRNA from 1 species